ensembl:lncRNA
AGCAAUCUGCCAGGGAGCAGGUGCAGCAUCUGACAAAUGCCUUGCUGCAGUUUCCGCCUCCUCUGCAUCCCUUCAGCUUCUGUUUUUUAGUGGAUUGAUAUAUGGGGUCUCCCAUGUGAGCAUUGCAGAUGGAGGGCUGUGAGGCUGAGGCAUCUACACUGCUUUACAACCAGCAUUACAGCACAAGAGUGGUCUUACAGCAGUGAUACAUCCCGAAUCUGAGCUGUGUGAUGAAGCGAGGCCGCACGGCAGUCAUCACCCAUUCCUACAGCAGGCUUCCAAAUACAAACUGAAAAUAUAGCAUCAGGACAGUGGUUUCACCCAAGUCAGGUUCACAGGUCUAUCCACCAUCUGGAGCAAUUACAAGGUGGCUGGAAAGCCAUGGAAAUACUGUUCCCAAAGAAAGGACGUCCACUAGUGGAGGCACGGGUCCAUCCCAGAACCCUCACUCAUACCUCCAGGACAGUGAUGUGCUUCUCCACUAAGAUGCAGAAUGGAAGGGUCUGAGGACCUGAUGUUAACAUUUUUAGACAGAUAUUAGUGAUCUGCUGUGUGUUCCCAAGCCAUCAGUGAGAAGUGGCUGCUCUCUGAGCAGUGGCAGCCAGGGACUCUGCUGGAAGGGUGCAUGAACUGCAGAGGAAACAAAUGCGAGGAACCCUGAUCUCUGCAAGACCACGGGGCAUCUGCCUGCCUGGAAGGAUGUGAUGGUCUGCAGCCAUUUCUAGUUUGAUGGGAUACAGCCUCUGUUUCACUCCUUGCAAUUCUGCUUGUGCAGUGGUGCAUAGUAACCUGGGGAGCUGCAAAGGGAAAAGACAUUCAUCUAACCCUGAUCACAGGUGAAACAGGAAUUUGACCUCCAACCAAAGAGUAAGAAAGGCUGUUUUGCUGCGGCAGGAUGUUUGAAGAUGUGAAAUCUCAGAAGACGAGCUUACUUGGAUCAAAAUGAUUUGGGCACUGUAAAUGAGCAUUCAAAGCUCUGAGAUGAUUCUGGGAAACCAGACCAUCAUGUUAUAGAGCAGAGAGCCCUGCCAGCAGUGAGGAGCCAUCCAGGGGGCUCCUCUGAGCCCCGACUUUACCGGUGCCCUCUGUAACUGCAGAUCCUAUAGAGCUGAAUCCCAAUGAGAUGCCUGAUGGUCCCCAGCCUCCUCCCCCUCCUCUCUCCCACAUCUCUCUGUAUUUCUAGCCCCAUGCCUAGAUCAUGCCCCAUUUGUCUAUUUUUUCUGUUGAAUCGGAGAGAAAAUGUUGGGACCCAGCUGCUGCUCUCUGACCUAUGGCUGUCUGCAGGAAAGGGCUGAGCCUUCACUUUGGCCUGGACCUCCUGCCAGAAAAAGUAUCUGCUUCUCCGCCAGGGAUGUUUAAAAAUUCAUGUGUAUAGACAGAAACCGAGGGCAGUUUUUAAGAAAAUGUCAAGGCAGUCCUUGAUGGUGUGCUUUCUCAGGAAGAAAUGCCAACAGAUCUUGGACAAGGCUUGAAAUCUGACAUUAAAGAAGGCUUGGCUGGAUCUCUGAAGCUAUCUGCUGCUGAACACAUCAGAAACCCAAAUGGUGUGUGAGUUGGAGGAGGAUGUGGGUGAGGUAAUGCAUCUCUAUCAGAAAGCUAUCCAUUCUGCUCUUAAAGACCUUGCUCUGUCUGAGAUUCCAGCACUCUCCUCAGAAAUUUCUCUCAUGGCUUAAUUGAGUUUGCAGUUUAAAAUAAAAAUAACAGUGAUUUAAACAACAACAACAACAAAACCUAUUUCCUACCCUGAGUUAUCUAACUUCAGAGAAUCACAGCACAGCUGAGGUGGAGGGGACCUCUGGGUCCAUUUGGUCCCUGCCUGCCCCAGCAGAGCCACCCGGAGCAGUGCCCAGCACCACGGCCACAGCCUUCGGGAGACCCCAGGAAGAGACUCCACAGCCUCUCUGGGUACCUGUACCAGCUGUCCAUCACCUGCACAGCACAGAAAUGCUUCCUGAUGUUCAGAGUGCUUCUUGUACUGGCGCUGGACACCACUGCUCAGAGCCUGGUUCUGUCCUCUCUGCAUCCUCCCUUCAGGUAUUUAUGCAUAAUGAAAAAUUCUCCCCUGAGCCUCCUCUUCCCCAGGCUGAAGAGUGUCAGCUCUGUCUGCCUCUCUUCAUAGGAGAGGUGUUCCAGCUCCUUUACCAUACUGGUGAUCCUUGGUUGGACUGUGCAGUAUGUCCAUGUCUCUCUUGUAGUGGGGAACUCAGGAGUGCCCUCACCAGUGCUGAACAGGAAACUUCUGUUGAAACUUUAUAUAUAUGUGUAUAUAAAUAACACCUCUAAGGUCCUCUUACUAAAAGAAAUACCUUCUCUCUCUAAGAAUCUACAGCAAUGAAAGCAUCUGCUCUUAACUUGGUUAAUCUGGUGAAGCUUCUUCAGUGCUUCAAGAUGGAUAAACAACUGUAAGACUCUGUAGACUAAAGAUGUACAUAGGCUCAAAAAAUAAUUAGAGGAAUUAAUGGCAAAAUGACAAUGAAUGCAUUUAGCUCUUAAUGUCCCUAAACUGCAGCUUGCUAGAAACUGCAAGUCUGUACCAGAGGAAAGACUGUUCUGUACUCACUUGUAUUCCUGCCUCCUCUUCUGAUGUUCUUGCUAAAAACCGUGAUAAAAGCUUGCUAAAUUAAGAGGGAGUUUAGUUUGACACAGUAUGGCCACGCAUGGGAAUCUUUGCCUGUAAUUUUGUGUUGAUAAGAUGCUACGUCCACAUAUGGAUAUAAUUCCCAGGGCUAGGGCUAAUUUCAGUGUUCUCCACCUCAGAGACUGUACUUCAAAGUGAGAAUUGGAGUGAUGGUGUCACAGUGAGGCAAUGGCACAACAAAUGGCAGCAGAGAAGAAAAUUAAAAAUAGCCAUGACUAUUUGAAGGACGUGUAGAGCAUGAGGUAGGAUGUUAUUGUGAUGGGCAAACAAAACCAUUGGAAACGGGACAGUAUAAGCAAGAGUGUUUUUCUCUUUUUAAGGACAGAAUGAGUUGUAACUGAAGGUUAAUUGCAGGAUACUGUUAUUAAGCAUUAAAGAGGAAUUUGUUUUGCAGAAACACCAGAUGCUUAUUAAGUUUCAGGGGAGGGAAUGUACAAAAGAUGAAAAGAACAUUACCAGCAAUGGCAAUAAAGGAACAUAAGUAGGAUAUAAAAAUGGAAAUAAAAAACCUCUUUU